CAGGCUUCUUUUUUUGUAAAUGAUUUUAAUUCUGGUUCAAGGAGACGUGCGGUAGAAUUACACAUCGAUAAUUAAGAUGGUCUGUAGUUGAUGAAAACAAAUGGAAAAAUGAUAAUAAUAAUAAAAACGGAAUUCUCUAUCGAGCACUUACGAUGUUCCAGAGACCGUAUUAAGCAUGCUAGUUUAGUGGCUCAUUGAUCACAGUGGCGGGAAAACGUCAUAUCUGCAUCUUACAAGUGAGGAGACAAUACGUUUUCAUAGCCAGUGAAUGGUAGAGCUGGUAGGAAUUUGCAUCUGGCCAGCCUGAGGGAGUGUGAGCCAUCAUUCCAAACUGCCACUGAGUCUCAGCUCAGACGGGGAUCUAAACAGAAGCUUCUCGGAGCCCCACGUGUGCACACUAUACACUUAAGUCAGUGAACUGUGCAGCAGGCGUUACAGGCCCUGUGAAGAGGGUAAUGUACCCAUUGGAUAUUACUCCAAAAUCAAGUGUGCUUUACAUCCAUGAAUUAGAACCCCAUUUACAGUAAAUAUAAUGAACCCACUGAAUAUCCAUGACUAGCCAGCUUUCUGCAGAGGAAGAUUUAAUAAAAUGUCAUUUUUAAAAUAAAUAUACUUUUUUUCCUAGGAGCCCACAGCUAUUGUUAAAAUAUCUUUAAUCAACUGUCAAGCAGCGGGGUCCGUAAGUCUCCUAUUCAGUAAGAGGGUGGAACUUUCUAUAUACUCAGUGUAAGUAAACUAAACAGUUUUCAAGCUCUACAUGGAAAAUGGCUUUUCCCUGCUUACAUCAAACAAGUCGACAGUUUAUCAACACAUCGCUUCUGAUUAUUUCACGUCUGAGCUAGAGCCAAGGUUUAAAACCCCAGUCUGAGAAACGCGUACAUGCUCUCUUUCUGACGGCGGAAUGAAGGAAAGGUAUGCCAUUCUGACUUCAGCAUACGUCCCCAGGAACGUGUUUACACUGAGAAGCCUGUGGUAUGAUAAAGGUCACUCGGCAGUGUGGCUCUUUCCUCCGUUUGGCAGUGGGAGGCCACGAGAGCCGGAAUUCUCACGAGCAGCAGCGUCUCAGCAGCCCUCGGCAGAGGGACAGACUGGAAGCAGAUGUGGCACAGGUCUCCCCAUGCGGCUUCACUGUGGACUCUCAGGGCAUCUACCCCGGGACUUCCCGCACCAAGAAGACCUUGAGAGACCAGGGGUUUCACCGUGUUGGUCAGGCUGGCCUCGAAUGCCUCAAGUGUUCCUCUCACCUCAGCCUCCCAAAUUGCUAAGAUUGCAAGUGUGAGCUACAGCACUCAGCCCCAGGGAAUUCAUUCACUGCAUUUCCUUUCCCAUUGGUUGAGGAUUUUCCUGGACAUUUUACCCUUCUCCACCUCAAGGUUUCUGAUGGUUGGGUGUCCCCCCAACUUCAGGGAGAGCCCAGAGAACGCAGGGCAGAGAGAUGCCUGGCAGAAACCUGCAGGCGAGGGCUCACCACGCAAUGCAUCAUGGGUGGCUGUGCAAAAGAGAACAGUUACUGUCACUUUCUGCUCAGUGUGGAUAGUCCAUUUCUAACAAGCAGUGACAUGAAAUAGGCAGUGUGACUACAGAGUUGACAGCGUGUUAUAACAAUCUGGAAGCCCCACUUCCCUCUCUUAAGCAGCAAGCUGAUAUGCAGACUCAUCAAAGAGACUUUAAGGUGCCACCAGACAACGCCCUUUAAUUUUAAUUUUGUGCAAAAAAAUCUGGAUUUGUUUUAAAAAAUUAAGAAAAUCUUGUUGAAAUCAAGGAGCUUAAUAAAAGAAGCAGUUUGACUUUAAAAAUCUCA
rnacentral:lncRNA from 13 species